rnacentral:rRNA from 1 species
GACGAACGCUGGCGGCGUGCUUAACACAUGCAAGUCGAACGGUGAAGGGACUGGUUUUGCUGGUCCUGGAUGAGCGGCGAACGGGUGAGUAACACGUGAGUAACCUGCCCCCUUCUUCUGGAUAACCGCAUGAAAGUGUGGCUAAUACGGGAUAUUCUGGGUCUGUUGCAUGGUGGGCCUGGGAAAGAUUGCGCCUUUUUUGGUGUGUUUGGUGGGGGAUGGGCUCGCGGCCUAUCAGCUUGUUGGUGGGGUGAUGGCCUACCAAGGCGGUGACGGGUAGCCGGGCUGAGGGGGUGGCCGGUCACGGUGGGGCUGAGACACGGCGCAGACUCCUACGGGAGGCAGCAGUGGGGAGUAGUGCACGAGGGGCGCAAGCCUGAUGCAGCGACGCCGCGUGAGGGAUGGAGGCCUUCGGGUUGUGAACCUCUUUCGCCAGUGAAGCAGUCCUGCCUCUUUUUGUGGGUGGGUUGACGGUAGCUGGAUAAGAAGCACCGGCUAACUACGUG